rnacentral:rRNA from 1 species
CCUACGGGAGGCAGCAGUGGGGAAUAUUGGGCAAUGGGCGCAAGCCUGACCCAGCAACGCCGCGUGAAGGAAGAAGGCUUUCGGGUUAUAAACUUCUUUUCGCAGGGACGAAGAAAGUGACGGUACCUGAGGAAUAAGCCACGGCUAACUACGUGCCAGCAGCCGCGGGAAUACGUAGGUGGCAAGCGUUAUCCGGAUUUAUUGGGGGUAAGGGGCGUGGAGGCGGGAGUGCAAGUCCGAUGGUAAAACUCAGGGCCCAACCCUGAGCGUGCAUUUGAAACUGUGGUUCUUGAGUGCUGGAGAGGCAAUCGGAAUUCCGUGUGUAGCGGUGAAAUGCGUAGAUAUACGGAGGAACACCAGUGGCGAAGGCGGAUUGCUGGACAGUAACUGACGCUGAGGCGCGAAAGCGUGGGGAGCAAACAGGAUUAGAUACCCUUGUAGUC